rnacentral:rRNA from 1 species
GACGAACGCUGGCGGCGUGCUUAACACAUGCAAGUCGAACGGAAAGGCCCUGCUUUUGUGGGGUGCUCGAGUGGCGAACGGGUGAGUAACACGUGAGUAACCUGCCCUUGACUUUGGGAUAACUUCAGGAAACUGGGGCUAAUACCGGAUAGUAGCUCCUGCUGCAUGGUGGGGGUUGGAAAGUUUCGGCGGUUGGGGAUGGACUCGCGGCUUAUCAGCUUGUUGGUGGGGUAGUGGCUUACCAAGGCUUUGACGGGUAGCCGGCCUGAGAGGGUGACCGGCCACAUUGGGACUGAGAUACGGACCAGACUCCUACGGGAGGCAGCAGUGGGGAAUAUUGCACAAUGGGCGGAAGCCUGAUGCAGCAACGCCGCGUGCGGGAUGACGGCCUUCGGGUUGUAAACCGCUUUCGCCUGUGACGAAGCGUGAGUGACGGUAAUGGGUAAAGAAGCACCGGCUAACUACGUG